UACGUAGGGGGCGAGCGUUGUCCGGAUUUACUGGGCGUAAAGCGCGUGUAGGCGGCGGAAUAAGUCGGGUGUGAAAUCCCCGAGCUCAACUUGGGAACUGCGUUUGAAACUACAAGACUAGAAAUAUGUCAGAGGGGGGGUAGAAUUCCACGUGUAGCAGUGAAAUGCGUAGAGAUGUGGAGGAAUACCAAUGGCGAAGGCAGCCCCCUGGGAUAAUAUUGACGUCUCAUGCA
rnacentral:rRNA from 1 species